CUAUACAUGACUCUGCGCAUAUCAAUAAGCGGAGGAAAAGAAACUAACAAGGAUUCCCCUAGUAACGGCGAGUGAAGCGGGAAGAGCUCAAAUUUGAAAUCUUAAAGGGUUUCCCUUUACGAAUUGUAGUUUAAAGAAGUGUUUUCUGUUGAGGUUUUGGUAAAAGUUCUUUGGAAUAGGACAUCAUAGAGGGUGAGAAUCCCGUAUUUGACCUUUACUUUCAACUUUGUGAUACACUUUCAAAGAGUCGGAUUGUUUGGGAAUGCAGUCCAAAAUGGGUGGUAAAUUUCAUCUGAAGCUAAAUAUUGGCGAGAGACCGAUAGCGAACAAGUACCGUGAGGGAAAGAUGAAAAGAACUUUGAAAAGAGAGUUAAACAGUACGUGAAAUUGUCAAAAGGGAAGCGUUUGACACCAGUGUUGUUUUUCUGAAAAUCAAUUAAAGAACUGUUUAUGCUAAGUUGUUUAGACUUUAUCAGCUAACUGUUUAGUUUUGAGCUUUUCUUUAAUGCACUUUUCAGUUAACAAGUCAACAUCAAUUUCUUUUGCUGUAAAAAAGCUUGAGGAAGGUGGCUUGAGAUUCGUCUUAAGUGUUUAUAGCCUCUUGCCUAUGCAGUCGGAGAGAUUGAGGUCUGCAGCGUAGAUCCUUCGGGGCUAAAUGCAUUUGUGCUAAGUUAUAGCAUUUUAUAGACAACUUGUUGACUAUGAUUUGUCUUGUAGCUUACUCGCUUAUGUUAUUUUACCUACGCUUAGGAUGUUGACAGCAGUAUAGACUGU
rnacentral:rRNA from 1 species